CGCAGCCGCGGUAAUUCCAGCUCCAAUAGCGUAUAUUAAAGUUGUUGCAGUUAAAAAGCUCGUAGUUGAAUUUCGGGAUUGGCGCAUCGGUCGUGCCUCAAGGGGUAUGAACUGGUGCAGUCAAUUUCUCACCUUCUGGAGAACCGCGAUGUCCUUAAUUGGGUGCCGUGGGGAACCAGGACCUUUACUUUGAAAAAUUAGAGUGUUUAAAGCAGGCAUUUUUGCUUGAAUACAUUAGCAUGGAAUAAUAAAAUAGGACGGCAUGGUUCUAUUUUGUUGGUUUCUAGGACCACCGUAAUGAUUAAUAGGGAUAGUUGGGGGCAUUAGUAUUCAAUUGUCAGAGGUGAAAUUCUUGGAUUUAUUGAAGACUAACUACUGCGAAAGCAUUUGCCAAGGAUGUUUUCAUUAAUCAAGAACGAAAGUUAGGGGAUCGAAGACGAUCAGAUACCGUCGUAGUCUUAACCAUAAACUAUGCCGACUAGGAAUCAGACGAUGUUAAUUUUUUAAUGACUCGUUGCAC
rnacentral:rRNA from 1 species